rnacentral:rRNA from 1 species
GAUGAACGCUGGCGGCGUGCCUAAUACAUGCAAGUCGAGUGAACAGACGAGGAGCUUGCUCCUUUGACGUUAGCGGCGGACGGGUGAGUAACACGUGGAUAACCUACCUAUAAGACUGGGAUAACUUCGGGAAACCGGAGCUAAUACCGGAUAACAUGUUGAACCGCAUGGUUCAACAGUGAAAGACGGUCUUGCUGUCACUUAUAGAUGGAUCCGCGCCGCAUUAGCUAGUUGGUAAGGUAACGGCUUACCAAGGCAACGAUGCGUAGCCGACCUGAGAGGGUGAUCGGCCACACUGGAACUGAGACACGGUCCAGACUCCUACGGGAGGCAGCAGUAGGGAAUCUUCCGCAAUGGGCGAAAGCCUGACGGAGCAACGCCGCGUGAGUGAAGAAGGUCUUCGGAUCGUAAAACUCUGUUAUUAGGGAAGAACAAAUGUGUAAGUAACUAUGCACGUCUUGACGGUACCUAAUCAGAAAGCCACGGCUAACUACGUG